rnacentral:rRNA from 1 species
UACGAGGGGGGCUAGCGUUGCUCGGAAUCACUGGGCGUAAAGCGCACGUAGGCGGACUCUUAAGUCGGUGGUGAAAUCCUGGAGCUCAACUCCAGAACUGCCUUCGAUACUGGGAGUCUCGAGUCCGAGAGAGGUGAGUGGAACUGCGAGUGUAGAGGUGAAAUUCGUAGAUAUUCGCAAGAACACCAGUGGCGAAGGCGGCUCACUGGCUCGGUACUGACGCUGAGGCACGAAAGCGUGGGGAGCAAACAGGG